rnacentral:sRNA from 1 species
GGUGGGCGUGGUGGCCCAUGCCUGUAAUCCCAGCAACUUGGGAGGCUGGGGCAGGAGGAUUGCAAGUUCAAAACCAGCCUCAGCAACUUAGCAAGACUCUAAGCAACUUGACAAGACCCCGUCUCAA